GGGGAUUUAGCUCAGUGGUAGAGCGCUUGCCUAGCAGGAGCAAGGCCCUAGCAAGGCCCUAGCAAGGCCCUGGGUUCGGUCCCCAGCUCCG
rnacentral:tRNA from 1 species